GGAUGGAUUUAGAUGAGACGGG
rnacentral:siRNA from 1 species